rnacentral:lncRNA from 1 species
CUGUCCUGUGCCCCCGAGGGCUGCCAGAGAGUAAGGAUUCUUUUUUGCUUGUUUCAGGGUUCAUAGUGGCGUAAUGCGCGCAGACUCCUGCGAGUUCCCCUAAGUUCUUAGAGGACUGCUUUGCCUUUUGAAUCAGAGAGUUGCAAAGUUCGAUAAAGAAUGGCCCUUGUGGAUAAGCACAAAGUCAAGCGACAGCGAUUGGACAGAAUUUGUGAAGUGGCAUGGCAGCGGGCCAGUUCCAGUGAAGUCUGCAGAGUCGGAAGUCUGCCAGCAAAUAAAUUUCUCUGUCAAUAAUUUAUCCCAAAGCAGUAGUUUUCCUCCUCGUUCCUUAUUGCCCAUUCAGUGUGUCAUUGUCUCCCUCCCCCAUGGGGGGGGUGGCAGAGGACAGGUACUUAGCUUCCUUCUCUGCUAGCUUUUCAACCUAUAUCCGGGGCAUUUUGAGUGGUAGUUUUCAUGGAACCAACAGCCGGGCUUGGAUCUAUUGAAAGCAGCCCAAAACUAGAUGGUGUCUCUACAAGACCACUCUGGCUGCUUCUCCUUCGCCCCUGCAUCCCCUGGGCGGGAAGGCCACUUGACCCCCUGAGAGGAUAACAUUUACAUUUGAGAAAAGUACCCCGAGUCUGCACUGACCCAAGUGCAGGACCUGGACCUUACGUCAGGCCAGCCCGUCCCCGGAGUGCCGCGCUGGAAGAUGGUGCGCUUUUCACCCAGCAGCGCCGUCCUCAGCAACAGAGCCUGCAGGAAUGCGUCCUGGACUUGGUGAUUGCAUAACUGAAGGGACGGGGGUGUCGGCGCGUCUGCAGUAGGUUUUUAGGGGUCUGCUUUUAUUUCUACAUGCUUUGACUCUCUUCAUCC